UUUCGACACACUAUCAUUAACUGAAUCCAUAGGUUAAUGAGGCGAACCGGGGGAACUGAAACAUCUAAGUACCCCGAGGAAAAGAAAUCAACCGAGAUUCCCCCAGUAGCGGCGAGCGAACGGGGAGCAGCCCAGAGCCUGAAUCAGUGUGUGUGUUAGUGGAAGCGUCUGGAAAGGCGCGCGAUACAGGGUGACAGCCCCGUACACAAAAAUGCACAUAUUGUGAGCUCGAUGAGUAGGGCGGGACACGUGGUA
rnacentral:rRNA from 1 species